rnacentral:rRNA from 1 species
CCAAUAGCGUAUAUUAAAGUUGUUGCAGUUAAAAAGCUCGUAGUUGAAUUUCAGGCCUGGCUGGACGGUCCGCCCUUCGGGUGAGUACUGUCUGUGGUCGGGUCCUACCUUCUGGCGAAGCGUCAUGGCCUUAACCGGCCGUGGCGGGGAACCAGGACUUUUACUGUGAAAAAAUUAGAGUGUUCAAAGCAGGCAAUCGCUUGGAUACAUUAGCAUGGAAUAAUGGAAUAGGACAAUGGUUCUAUUUGUUGGUUUCUAGGACCGUUGUAAUGAUUAAGAGGGAUAGUUGGGGGAAUUAGUAUUCAAUUGUCAGAGGUGAAAUUCUUGGAUUUAUUGAAGACUAACUACUGCGAAAGCAUUUGCCAAGGAUGUUUUCAUUAAUCAAGAACGAAAGUUAGGGAAUCGAAGACGAUCAGAUACCGUCGUAGUCUUAACCAUAAACUAUGCCGACUAGGAAUCGGGCGAUGUUGAAAAAAUGACGCGCUCGGCACCUCAUG